CGCGGCCUAUCAGCUUGUUGGUGAGGUAACGGCUCACCAAGGCAUCGACGGGUAGCUGGUCUGAGAGGACGAUCAGCCACACUGGGACUGAGACACGGUCCAGACUCCUACGGGAGGCAGCAGUAGGGAAUCUUGCGCAAUGGGCGAAAGCCUGACGCAGCAACGCCGCGUGGGGGAUGAAUGCCUUCGGGUUGUAAACCCCUUUCAGCAGGGACGAAAAUGACGGUACCUGCAGAAGAAGCUCCGGCCAACUACGUGCCAGCAGCCGCGGUAAUACGUAGGGAGCGAGCGAUGUCCGGAAUUAUUGGGCGUAAAGAGCUCGUAGGCGGUUCGGUAAGUCGGGUGUGAAAACUCAAGGCUCAACCUUGAGACGCCACUCGAUACUGCUGUGACUUGAGUCCGGUAGAGGAGUGUGGAAUUCCUGGUGUAGCGGUGAAAUGCGCAGAUAUCAGGAGGAACACCAGCGGCGAAGGCGGCACUCUGGGCCGGUACUGACGCUGAGGAGCGAAAGCAUGGGGAGCAAACAGGAUUAGAUACCCUGGUAGUCCAUGCCGUAAACGUUGGGCACUAGGUAUGGGAUCAUAUCAACGGAUUCCGUGCCGUAGCUAACGCAUUAAGUGCCCCGCCUGGGGAGUACGG
rnacentral:rRNA from 1 species